GCAUAUACAUUGAAGUAAACAUAAAAUAAGCAGUAAAUUAAUGAAAUACGACGUACAUUUUGUUGUAUCUGAUUCUAAGUAAACAAUUAACCCAAGGUGACGAGUGAGCAUCAAGUUUAAAAGGAAAUGAAAUCUUUAAACCGCGCUGGCGUUUUCAAUUCGGAGCGCUUACGGAGAACGCGCUUAUUAUCUUGUUCAGUGCUCG
rnacentral:lncRNA from 1 species